rnacentral:lncRNA from 1 species
GGUGAAUCUUGAUUUGUAAACAAGGCCCCACUGGUAUUAUAAUGGUCUCUCGUCAUGACCCCUAGAAAACAGUUUUUAAAAUGAUGAUGGCCAGCACAUUUCACAUACAAAUGUUAGACACAAGGAAGGAAAGCCUUAACUCUUGCUCUUGGAUUCCUGCUUGCUCAUGCUUUACCCUCCAUCCUUGUCCUAGCAAUAUAGCUUUCAACAGCUGUUGAAUUGUUGAGAGUUUUUCUAUAUCCAUGCAGUGAAAUUGAGUGAGAGGUUGGGCUUUUGUCUUGCAGCUCUGUCAGUUUUACUUCCAUCUACACAGCAGCAGGGAGGGGGCAGGACCGAGGGCUGGAUGGGUGGGACAAAGGGACGAAGAGUAGAGAGCAGAUGCAAGGUAACUACCUCAUUUGUCAACAACUUGCUGCAAAUGCUUAGACCAGAUGAGGAACGAGUGAAGGAUAUAGGAAAAGUCACUGAAAGUAGGAAGACGGAGCGUUCCUGCUUCACAAACACACAUUUGUUCUUCUGGAGCAUCAUUGGUGACUGUGUCUCAUGGUGUGAACGGAAUCACCUGCAGCUCAACAUCACCAAAACAGGAACUGGACCAAGUCUUCUGUUUCCAUGCAAGGGGUCGAUGUGGACACAGUGAUGGGCCACCAGUACCUGGGGAUCCACAAUGACAGCAAACUGGACUGAUGCUCUGCUUAAAAGGCCGGCUCUGGUCAUUCAACUUCUAAAAUCAAAAACCGUCUGUAGAUAUUUUACACUGUGUGCACUGUUUUGCACAUUUAGAGACAAAGAAUCAGAAAUGUUGUUGUUUUAUAAAGGACACAUUUAAACACAGAAACUGUUGUUCAUGUUUAAUUGCACUGAUUUUCUGACUAAAAACUCUAAUAAUCAAAUUUAAUUAAUGGGUUUUUUUUUUUACAUUUUUAAUUGUUAUAACGCUAUUAUGACAUGGAGUAAAUUGUGAAAUGAUAUACAUUGAAAAUGUAAUGUUUUCUGGGAAAAAGGGGGCAAAAGUAUUGAUUUUAAAGGAUAGUCUCUGAGCCUGUCAUGGUUAUAAUCAGCAGAAAAGUGGAGGUGGACAUUUUGAGGUUUAACCCUUUAACACCGGAGCUCCAGUGUUUAUGUUCUUUUAUUUACUGUAACUUCUCAACUGUUAACACGAUCAAUGUGAUUCCGACAAAUUCUGAAGAGGAAAAGCUGCUCGUAUCUCAUAGCUGCUUUUCUCCUGCAGAAUCUACUGGAAUUACCUUGAUCGUGUUAACAGUUAAAAAGUUACAGUUUGUUAAAGAUUUUGUCUUUAAGUGUCACCGGCGACUCCUCGGGGGUUAAAAGCUUAAACCAAGAUGAGGACGUUUUCUGGCUCGUCUUGUUUGCUGUGAUGUUCCUAAUUACAUGAUUUCCAAUACAUUGUAUUUUUCUGAGUGUCAUUGGUCCAAGAAUGGGUGGAUCAAAGACCAAGUCUCCAGUGCCAUUAUUUUGUGCUUAAAUUCCUAAUUUUUCUGUCAUUUUCAAGCAUGUUCUUAGGAUCUUCCUAUGUUUAUGUUUCCAUUUUCUUACAUAAACCACAG